UAGCCAACAAGUAUAUUUAAAUAUAUAUGUGUUGUUCACUUUUUACAGAAGACAGCAUUUGACCCGAGAAGUGCAAAGGUGUAAUUAGAGGGGGUAGUCGGUGAAUGUCAAGUCCAUCACAGUUGGCCUCAGUUAUGCACUGAAUGUCCAUCCUCAGUUCCCUCAUUGAAGUAUUAAGCUUCUCUGCAAACAUAUUUGGAGGUAAAUGUGAGAGUGACAAAAAGCUGACCACAACGAACACCUUGUCCUUCCCUUCUGCCCUCUGUCCUGGAGAACAUCAGCAAAACAGGUAGCCAGCCUUCACCACACACUGGAUCCACUUGCACCUUCAGUUGAACUUUAUUUCUGUAACAAUGAGGAAUGAAUGCUUACAGUGUAAGCCGUUCAUCUCAAGAACACAUCGGAUUACACCUGAACAGACUGGGUAAACUUCCUACCUAGAGUUCUGCUCCCUCCACUCUAAAGAAGCUCGGCAGCCCAGACCGUCUACUCCUCAUGACCAAGCACUGCCUCAGAAGCAUCAACUUCUCUGGGAUCAGUUCCUAGGCUUCUGAAUCCCUAUCUCUAGAGACACGCCCCUUAACCUCCUAUUUUUGCUGUGAGUAAAACCUUCUAUGUCUACUGGCUUUGAACUUCAGCUCAGCAGACACCAAUCAUAAAGCAGACUUUAAAAAUGAUAUGUUCUGAUGCUUUGGACUUUCUUAUUCUUGGUUAAUACUUUUUACAAUAAAAUGGGAGUUACAGAUUAAACGAUUAUGAAAGUUGCUCUACCUGUUUCCCUGACUAACUCUUUCAAUUGCAGAUCCAUAAGAAUAAUUUAAAUUCUCUAUAUUUAUACAUGAGGUCAGAACCGCAGUUUCCACCUGGGUGACCUCCUGAGUCCCAAAUGGAGCUACAUGGGACUACCUGGUAGUCAGUUCACAAGCAGGCAUGUUAGAAGGUAUUUCUUACAAUGUUCUUUCCACUCCGGCUGGAGGAUUGACAGCCAGCAAGACAAGCCGACGCAUAGGUAAUCCCAUUGUCCCCACACAUGGGCUCCCAUUUUGAGUCUGAACAUUUGCAUCUUGAGUUGCAAUCUGAAAAGAGAGCUCGUUCAUGAUAAGAGACAGGUUU